AAUGAACGUUUUCGGAAGGAGUCGGGGUAUCUUCCGGUUUAUUAUUAUUGAUAGAAGUUUUAUGUUCUGGGAUUGAAGUAGUAGGGGAACCCUUGGAAUUGGAACCCACAUUAUCUCCUAAAUCAUUCAUUAUACUGUCAUCUAGAUACUCGCCAGCAAGAUCGAGACGACUUUUCAAAUUAGAAAGUUGUUGUAAAUAAUGUGUAGAAUAAUUUGCAGGAUUAACAUCGUAAUCACGGCUAGCACUCCCUAAUAACUUUU